UACGGAGGGAGCUAGCGUUGUUCGGAAUUACUGGGCGUAAAGCGCGCGUAGGCGGCUUUGUAAGUUAGAGGUGAAAGCCCGGGGCUCAACUCCGGAACUGCCUUUAAGACUGCAUCGCUUGAAUCCGGGAGAGGUGAGUGGAAUUCCGAGUGUAGAGGUGAAAUUCGUAGAUAUUGGGAAGAACACCGAUGGCGAAGGCAGCCAUCUGGACCGACACUGACGCUGAGGCGCGAAAGCGUGGGGAGCAAACAGG
rnacentral:rRNA from 1 species